rnacentral:rRNA from 1 species
UAAUGGUGUGCAUUUUUUCUAUAAAAGGACAUUGUAAUCUAUUAACAUAAAUUAUAUUUAUCAUAAGAUCAAUUUCGCGUAAGUUUAUUCAAAUUAUUUUGUUUUCAAUUUAAUAUCGAAUAAAUGCAUUUGAUUUGAUAAAGUGUUGAUAGAUUUAUUAUAUAUAGUGCUUAAAUAUUUAUAUUUUAUAAUAGCAUAUUGAUCAUUGAUUUUUAUGUUUAUUAUAUGCACUUAUAUGAUUAACAAUGCGAAAGAUUCAGGAGACCUUCGGGACCCGUCUUGAAACACGGACCAAGGAGUCUAACAUAUAUGCAAGUUAUUGGGUGUUAAAACCUAAUAGCGAAAUUAACAUAACUAAAAUUAUAAUGGGAUUAGUUUUUAGUUCUAUUUUAUUAUAGUCUAUUAAUUCAAUCCCGGGGCGCUCUAUCAGUUAUGUAUAAUAAUAUUUAUAUUAUUUAUACCGCUAACUAGAGCGUACCUUGAGCAUAUAUGCUGUGACCCG